GAUCAACGCUGGCGGCGUGCCUAAUGCAUGCAAGUCGAACGGGGUCGCCUUCGGGCGGCUCACGUGGCGGACGGGUGAGGAACACGUGGGCGAUCUGCCCCGAGGUGGGGGAUAGCCACCAGAAAUGGUGGGUAAGACCGCAUAAGCUCGCUGGAUUACGGUCCGGUGAGGAAAACCUUUUCGGAGGUGCCUUGGGAGGAGCCUGCGGCGGAUUAGCUAGUUGGUGGGGUAACGGCUUACCAAGGCGAUGAUCCGUAGCUGGUCUGAGAGGAUGGCCAGCCACAGGGGAACUGAGACACGGUCCCCACUCCUACGGGAGGCAGCAGCAAGGAAUUUUCCGCAAUGGGCGAAAGCCUGACGGAGCAACGCCGCGUGGGGGAUGACGCUUUUCGGAGUGUAAACCCCUUUUCUCAGGGAAGAACACAAUGACGGUACCUGAGGAAUAAGGACCGGCUAACUACGUG
rnacentral:rRNA from 1 species